AGCUAUUAACAUCAUGUUACGAAUGUCAUAGCUGUAAGGCGGUCUGUGGUAUUUGCAGUGGUUUUACUAAUGGAAGAUUAUUUUAAUUUUAAUUUUGAAUUGCUUUAAAAAAUAAACUAUUGCGCUUUUAAAUUUGUGAUGCUAGUCUUUAAUAAAAGAAUGUCCAGGAAUUUGAUGUAAUUUCAACUGCAGUGUUUACAUAGGAUAUACCAGUUCAAAAUAUGAGUUGGGGAACCGAGCUUUGGGACCAGUAUGACAAUUUAGGACAACAUACCCUUCGAGGGAUUGAGUUCUUAGACAAAUACAGUUCUUUCUUAAAAGAGAGAGGCUCAAUUGAAUAUGAAUAUGCCUCAAAACUCAGGAAACUUGUAAAAAAUUACCAGC